CUACGGGGGGCAGCAGUCAAGAAUCUUCCGCAAUGGACGAAAGUCUGACGGAGCGACGCCGCGUGCAGGAUGAAGGCCUUCGGGUUGUAAACUGCUUUUAUAUGGGAAGAAUUUGUGACGGUACCAUAUGAAUAAGAGGUUGCUAACUCUGUGCCAGCAGCAGCGGUAAUACAGAGACCUCAAGUGUUGUCCGGAUUUAUUGGGCGUAAAGCGUCCGCAGGUGUUCCGAUAAGUUUUCUGUCAAAACCCAGCGCUCAACGUUGGGGCUACGGGAAAAACUAUUGGAAUAGAGGAUGGGAGAGGCAAGCGGAACUACAGGUGUAGUCGUAAUAAGCGUUGAUAUCUGUAGGAACACCAAAGGCGAAGGCAGCUUGCUAGAACAUUCCUGACACUCAUGGACGAAAGCGUGGGUAGCGAACGGGAUUAGAUACCCCAGUAGUC
rnacentral:rRNA from 1 species